GCUAAUUCUGCCUUACCCAGUUCCAGAGAUGGGCAUGUGACUCAGGCCUGGCCAGGGUAUGGCAAGCUUAUCUAUGUGUUUACUUAGAAGUUGCAGAGACCAAAACUUGAAGCAAAUCAGGCCCCUCUGGAACUCUCACCCACUAAGAGAUUGCCUCAAUUUACAACGUAGCUGCCUGCCAUGGCGCCAGCCAGACCACAUGAUAGAUAAGACAUCUGAAGCAAGUCACACAGACCCCGCACCUCCUCCCCUCCUCCCCAUCCCCCCUUUAAAAGCCCUUGCCUUCUGCCCUGAAGGCUGAAGUGGUAUCUCAGGGCAGGAGCCUGUACUACUUCCCCUCGGGUAGCUCUUGAAUUAAGUCACUUUUUUUUUCCCACCAGACCUUGCUCUUGUUAUUCAGACUCUGCAAGCAGUGGAUGACUGAACCUGAGUUACAGAGGCAUUACAAGGAGGAUUUUGUUUUCUUCUUAGGUUUAGUUGUAUUUUCUAAUAUUUCUAUAAUAAAUAUGUCUUACUUUCAUUAAAAAA